GACGAACGCUGGCGGCGUGCUUAACACAUGCAAGUCGAACGAAGUGGCGAACGGGUGAGUAACGCGUAAUCAACCUGCCCUUCAGAGGGGGACAACAGUUGGAAACGACUGCUAAUACCGCAUACUGAAGGAGGGGAGUGCGUCUGAUUAGCUGGCUGGAGGGGGAACGGCCCACCAAGGCGAUGAUAAGUAGCCGGUCUGCGCGGAUGAACGGCCACAUUGGGACGGAUACACGGCCCAGACUCCUACGGUAGGCAGCAGUGGGGAAUCGUCCGCAAUGGACGAAAGUCUGACGGAGCAACGCCGCGUGAGUGAGGACGGCCUUCGGGUUGUAAAGCUCUGUUAAUCGGGACGCGUUACCGGAAUAGAAAGCCACGGCUAACUACGUGCCAGCAGCCGCGGUAAUUC
rnacentral:rRNA from 1 species